rnacentral:snRNA from 1 species
AAUUCAACCAAGCGCGGGUAAA